rnacentral:rRNA from 1 species
AACGAACGCUGGCGGCAUGCCUAACACAUGCAAGUCGAACGAGACCUUCGGGUCUAGUGGCGCACGGGUGCGUAACGCGUGGGAACCUGACCUUAGGUUCGGAAUAACUCCCCGAAAGGGGUGCUAAUACCGGAUAAUGUCUUCGGCCCAAAGAUUUAUCGCCGUUGGUUGGGCCCGCGUUGGAUUAGCUAGUUGGUAGGGUAAAAGCCUACUAAGGCGACGAUCCAUAGCUGGUCUGAGAGGAUGAUCAGCCACACUGGGACUGAGACACGGCCCAGACUCCUACGGGAGGCAGCAGUGGGGAACAUUGGACAAUGGGCGAAAGCCUGAUCCAGCAAGGCCGCGUGAGUGAUGAAGGCCGUAGGGUUGUAAAGCUCUUUUACCCGGGAUGAUAAUGACAGUACCUGGAGAAUAAGCUCCGGCUAACUCCGUG